rnacentral:rRNA from 1 species
UACGAAGGGGGCUAGCGUUGUUCGGAAUCACUGGGCGUAAAGCGCACGUAGGCGGCUUUCUAAGUCAGGGGUGAAAUCCUGGAGCUCAACUCCAGAACUGCCUUUGAUACUGGAGAGCUUGAGUCCGGAAGAGGUGAGUGGAACUCCGAGUGUAGAGGUGAAAUUCGUAGAUAUUCGGAAGAACACCAGUGGCGAAGGCGGCUCACUGGUCCGGUACUGACGCUGAGGUGCGAAAGCGUGGGGAGCAAACAGG